rnacentral:lncRNA from 1 species
AGAAGAAGCAAAUGGAGGGAAGAAAGAUAUGCAGAAGCCCAUUGGCUUUUCAAGCUUGACAGCACAUGCUGAAGAAUAGAGGUGGGGAAGUGUGGAGACAUAAAGGUUAUGGCCUAGGAACUGGAGCGCAUUGGCAGUUUUCAGAAUUGCACAUGAUAUGGCCAAAACCACUUUUUUUGUAUACACCCAGUGCAGGACGAUGCAGGUAGAAUAACAAGGGAAGGCAUCAUCACAGUCAGGGAGCUGGAUGCAUCCCUCUUCUGACUGGGAUUCUUUGUCUUUCUGGAUGCCAGCUGGCAGUUAGGAAUGGGUGACAUCUGUUAGUAAAACAGGUGGAGGACAACUUUCUUAAUAACUGUAUCUACAAAGUUAGGGGCCUACAAUGUGCUUCAGUCCCCUGGCUUUUGAGGAAGAAUUUGGCCCUGGUUUGGGAUGCAGAGCUACAGCUGCCUCUACAUGCAUCCUGUCCCCAGCAGGUGAAGGAAUGGGUGUUUCCACUUCGUGCUCUGUACCUGUUGUGUUUGGAAAAAAAUACCUCAGUUUUACAGUAGAAGUCAGCACGUUUUGAAGAUAUCCAAGCAAAUCUGCAAGAAGUACUUAUAGCAAUCCAUAUAGCAGCAAAUGCUUGACUCUGUGUUAGGCUGUUGUGCUGAAGCUGUUCCACCAAAGCCCCAGAUGACGUGAACCCUACCGUGUCUAAUGAUUAAAAAGUACACAGAAAAAUCCCUCUUCAGGAGACCUAGUGCCAGAGCUGCUCUCCAGCUUUCUCCUCACCUUGAGAAGUUACUGGGAAAGAAAGCUGUGAGAGACAAAGUCUACAGAUCACAGAAGAACUGUCCAUCUUUAAAUACACUAUUCUGUUAAACAUUUCUUAGUCUGUUUAUUCCUACGUACAGGGAAUGCAUUGCAGUGCUGCUUGUUCAAAAAUAGUGCAUUUGGACAGAGUGGUUUCUGCUGAUUAGUGGGAAAGGAAAAGGAGAGUAAAGAAGCAAUGCACAAUAUCUACCUGAGGGGAAA